GCUGGCCAUGGUGGUGCAUGCCUGUAGUCCUAGCUACUUAGGAGGCUGAGACGGGAGGAUCACUUGAGCCCAGGAGGUUGAGGCUGCAGUGAGCUAUGAUGGCACCACUGCACUCCAGCCUAGGCAACAGAGUGAGACCCUGUCUUAA
ensembl:misc_RNA Metazoa_SRP Metazoan signal recognition particle RNA